GAGUUUGAUCAUGGCUCAGAUUGAACGCUGGCGGCAUGCUUUACACAUGCAAGUCGAACGGGCUUAGGGGCUUGCUCCUAAGUUAGUGGCGAACGGGUGAGUAAUACAUCGGAACGUACCGUGUAGUGGGGAUAACGUAGCGAAAGUUACGCUAAUACCGCAUACGAUCUACGGAUGAAAUGGGGGACCUUCGGGCCUCACGCUAUACGAGCGGCCGAUGUCUGAUUAGCUAGUUGGUGAGGUAAAGGCUCACCAAGGCAACGAUCAGUAGCGGGUCUGAGAGGAUGAUCCGCCACACUGGGACUGAGACACGGCCCAGACUCCUACGGGAGGCAGCAGUGGGGAAUUUUGGACAAUGGGCGAAAGCCUGAUCCAGCCAUGCCGCGUGUCUGAAGAAGGCCUUCGGGUUGUAAAGGACUUUUGUCAGGGAGCAAAACUUAGAGGUUAAUAACCUUUGAGGUUGAGAGUACCUGAAGAAUAAGCACCGGCUAACUACGUG
rnacentral:rRNA from 1 species